UUAGAAUUAAAUGCAAAGCAAUUGAGCAAUAUUUGAAUAAAGCCCAACAGGCAGUGAGUUGCCUGUGGUUUGGCAGGCAGGGAGGUAAGAGCAAAGGUCCUGUGGCUGGAAUAGAAAGAGAUGGAGGGUAGCGGGAGAGAAGUUCGAGAGGUGCCCCAGGACCAGAUCUCAGAGGGCCUCGUAGCCCUUGUAAAGACUCUGACUUUAUUCCACGCAGAAAGGAGCCAAGCACAGAGGACCCACACGCUCUGCUCAUGUGAAUGGUCCAUGUCUCCUCAUAAUGAGCAUUUAGGUUUGCAAAUCCACAUUUGCACUGUUUGGUUAACAACGCUUUGUCUCCCUGGGACUCUUGGGAUCCUGUCUUGGUAACUGCAACCAACCUUCCUUGAUGGUGGUCCAACUCAUCAGCCCUUUGCUCUUGCAAAUGGCAUUGCACAGUAAAGGACCAAAUGAGCAAAGCAGACAGGAUGUACAGCAUCCACCAAAGAAGAAAGCAACGUUGAGACAGGUGGACAGUCUGAGAACACAAUGGCUCCUGGAUUUCUAGAACACACUCAGCCGUGCAGAAAGCAACACGAGAACUACCAUUGUGAAAUCAGACCCCUCAUUAUUAAUAGUUCAUCUCUGUCCAUCCUGAUGGAACAAAAGCUCAAGGUUUCGUUGUCGUCCUGGGCAACAUUUAUAACACAGCCAUCAACAAGCCCUUGGAACCGCCCCGAGCCUUUGGCAAUGCCAAGAAAUCAACAUUUCAGCCAUGUGACUCCUCAAGAAUCUAAAAGUAAAAGAAAACUUCCAUGGGCCACAUGGUCACAUCUUCAAGAAGAAUUCUGGGUGCUCAGACAGCCACUUAAGCUAGCUGGGGAGCUUGUGCAGGGCACAAAUCUCUGGAGCCGCAGUUUUUCAUCUCUUUGGAGCUCAGAACCCAUUCUUUAAAAGAAUUCAUCUAGAAUUCCAAUACAUGACAAGGAUAAAAGUGUUGCGCUCUGGCUGAAAGGUAUGGGGACUCGUUUCUGAUGCGCUUUUGCCCACCACACUUUGUGCAGCUCCCCCUCUGCCCAAGUCCAGGGCACCAUAGAACACAGCAUGAAACCAACAGGGUGAGCUAGUGCAGCUGCAGAAGGAACAGCACUGUUAUCAACUGUAAUCGCACUUUUAGGUAACAUUUAUUUUGUAUGCAUUACAUGCCAAAGAUUAUUCUCAAUGCUUUACAUGUAUUAAUUUAUUGAAUCUCCACACCAACCCCAUGAGGUUAGGGACAAUUAUUAUCCCUCUCUUACAGACAAGGAAACCAAAGUUGAAGGAAAUACAAACUUUGCCCAAGGUAAUAAGUAGUAAAGCCAGACUUUGGUCCCAGGAAGUGAGAUUUCAGAACCACAGCCUUCUGAAUACCUGUCAAAUCAGUUCUGCCUCGUUACCCAGGUGAGCUUUUAAAUGUUCAGGAUUUGCCUGCAAGUGUUUAAUUUUAGUUUUUCUUCCCUUCCUUAGAAAGAGAAGACCAGGCAGAGGAGCCACUCAGGGUUCACCUGGACCCAAAGCCAGGUUUCUCCCUCCCCACUUCUCAACAUUGGAAAACAAAUAACUCCUCUCCUAGUGCCAGAGGAAUCUGAUAUCCCUGCUCUGUGUUUCUCUGGUGGAGGAACUGCGGCACUGAAGCCAGGCUAUAAAUAUCAGAGUUAAUGAGGCCGGACUCCUGGAGACCUAAAUGAAUGCAUUUUAUGGGUUUGUCAUACAUCAGGUUAAUAUGAUCCUGACAAAUAAUUAUAUGGAAAACUGGACAGGGACCCAGAAUGUCGUUAUUCCUUCUGAAUGUUACAGCAAGUCGUCUGGCCAAUUAAAGGGUGAUGACGCCAUUACCGAAGCGUGGAGCAGAACGGUAACAAUGCAGGGCCUACAGACAAAGGCGCUGUGGCCUGCACCCUCCAUGGCACCGGUGACACAGUUGUCAUCAUCUGACUCCUCAGUGAGCAGAGCCCCACAUCCAUGUGGACUAUCGUGGUGAGACCUGCUGUGUAUGCGGGAGCAGGAGGACAAAGGCACAAUGGGCUACUGAUGUGGUUUUCUCUGCCCUCCCCCCCUUUUUAAACAUCAACUAUAAGGUUUCCAUGUGGAAGGACAUUUAUAUACAUUGGGACUAUAGUUGUUGAUCUACUUGUUUCAACAUAGUAGAAUGAGUUGAGUACAUGGGAUUCUUGCUUGUCCAUUCUCGAGAGUGAAGACUUUAUUUAUUAUUAUGUAUUAGUGGCCAAUAGCCAGGGACACCAAACAUCUGGAAAUAUAAAAUGCAAUCCUGCCCAGUGAAAAAUCAUCUCAAUCAUUUUUCUUCACUUGGGAGAGUGAGUUGGAAAAAGUUCUCCAAAUCCAUCCAGGUCCACAGUCUAAUCAGCACAAAGACUGAGACGAUGAACCCACAACACAAAAAUUCUGGGAUCUGGGCUUCUGUUCAGAGAGAAAUAAUGCAACUCUCCUCUGGAUAAUUUGUUCAUCUUAGCUCUGUGUUUUACUGUCAUUGGAGAAACAAAGGCAGGACUCAGCACCAAGUUCUAUAAUCUGGAGCUACCACCGAGACAUUCUGCACAUGCCCAGAAGGAGCGGUUUGUUAUUAGACUGUAUUUUGUAUACAAGUGACCAUUUUUCAGUCAGAUAGGUGAUUUUUCCUACUUCCAUUCAUCCUAAUACUCCAUUUCUGCACUAUCAGUCAGAUUGGCUGAGCAGAAAGGCCAGCCUGUUCAUCAGUGUCUAGAAAUGCCAGGUGUACUUUUCUAAAGCCUGGAAUGCUUUUCACAAAACCCGGCCAACGCUCCAUCCAGACGGGCCUGCCCAGGGAGCACUGCAGGUGCUGCACUUGGUCCGACGGCUCUCUGGGCGGGGAGUGGUCUGGACCUCAUGUGGACCGUGAAGACCAGAGCUUUCCCACUCACACCUCCACUCUGCAAUGAGCUACCAUGGAUUUUAGAGAGAGCUCCCAGCAGCAUUCCUUACUAGUUCUGUGACUUCAUUUCUCAUAGUUGGCACAUAGUACAAGUUAGCUGUUAUUAUUAACAUUUAUUAGGGACCAAAUGCCACCAGCCAGCAUUAAGGCACUAUUAUCCUAUCCCUUGCUACUCAUAAUGCAGCCACAGAUCAGCUGCUCCUGCACUACUGUGAGCUUGUUAAAAACGCAGGCUAUCAGGCCCCAGCCCAGAAGCAGAGUCAGAAUCUGCAUUUCAGCAGGAUCCCAGGAGGGCUGUAGACACUAAUGUCUGGGAGACCCUGUGGUCUACAUUAGGUCCUGGCUUGUUGAAAAGGCCAGCCCAUCCACCUUCUGUGCUUUUUUUCAAAGGACAGUCUUUCCUAGUGUUUUCCUGGUGUUAAAACAUUUUUCCUAUAACCCAAAUCUAGGCACAUGGCCAAAUCAAAUGUGAAUUUGCUUAGUGGAAACAAUGAGACAGAAUAUUUGAUACCGAAUUUUGCCAUCACUAUGUUUAACUCCA